AUUGAACGCUGGCGGCAGGCCUAACACAUGCAAGUCGAGCGGCAGCGGGAAAGUAGCUUGCUACUUUUGCCGGCGAGCGGCGGACGGGUGAGUAAUGCCUGGGAAAUUGCCCAGUCGAGGGGGAUAACAGUUGGAAACGACUGCUAAUACCGCAUACGCCCUACGGGGGAGAGCAGGGGACCUUCGGGCCUUGCGCGAUUGGAUAUGCACAGGUGGGAUUAGCUAGUUGGUGAGGUAAUGGCUCACCAAGGCGACGAUCCCUAGCUGGUCUGAGAGGAUGAUCAGCCACACUGGAACUGAGACACGGUCCAGACUCCUACGGGAGGCAGCAGUGGGGAAUAUUGCACAAUGGGGGAAACCCUGAUGCAGCCAUGCCGCGUGUGUGAAGAAGGCCUUCGGGUUGUAAAGCACUUUCAGCGAGGAGGAAAGGUUGAUGCCUAAUACGUAUCAACUGUGACGUUACUCGCAGAAGAAGCACCGGCUAACUCCGUGCCAGCCGCCGCCGUAACAC
rnacentral:rRNA from 1 species